UACGUAGGGGGCGAGCGUUGUCCGGAAUUAUUGGGCGUAAAGAGCGUGUAGGCGGUUCGGUAAGUCUGUCGUGAAAUCCUGGGGCUCAACUUGGAGACGCCACCCGAUACUGCUCUGACUUGAGUUCGGUAGGGGAGUGGGGAAUUCCUGGUGUAGCGGUGAAAUGCGCAGAUAUCAGGAGGAACACCGGUGGCGAAGGCGCCACUCUGGGCCGAAACUGACGCUGAGGAGCGAAAGCGUGGGUAGCAAACAGG
rnacentral:rRNA from 1 species